UGGAAGUAAAAAAUCGUAACAAGGUUUCCGUAGGUGAACCUGCGGAAGGAUCAUUACCUAGAGUUGCGGGCUUUGCCUGCUAUCUCUUACCCAUGUCUUUUGAGUACUUACGUUUCCUCGGCGGGUUCGCCCGCCGAUUGGACAAUUUAAACCCUUUGUAGUUGCAAUCAGCGUCUGAAAAACAUAAUAGUUACAACUUUCAACAACGGAUCUCUUGGUUCUGGCAUCGAUGAAGAACGCAGCGAAAUGCGAUAAGUAGUGUGAAUUGCAGAAUUCAGUGAAUCAUCGAAUCUUUGAACGCACAUUGCGCCCCUUGGUAUUCCAUGGGGCAUGCCUGUUCGAGCGUCAUUUGUACCUUCAAGCUUUGCUUGGUGUUGGGUGUUUGUCUCGCCUUUGCGUGUAGACUCGCCUUAAAACAAUUGGCAGCCGGCGUAUUGAUUUCGGAGCGCAGUACAUCUCGCGCUUUGUUACUCAUAACGACGACGUCCAAAAGUACAUUUUUACACUCUUGACCUCGGAUCAGGUAGGGAUACCCGCUGAACUUAAGCAUAUCAAUAGUC
rnacentral:rRNA from 1 species